AUUUGAUCAGCAGAGUAAUGGUUCAAGAGGAUUUCGAAUUAACUAAAUCCAAGAAAGUGUUACUCCAGUAGUAUAAUUUGUAGCACUAUUAUCACUAUUUUCACUGUAGUCCUUUUUUUCUUCGAAUAAAUCAGAUGAGUCACUCAUAUAAGUAAACAAAUACCUAACAGUUGUUCAUAGUCCUUUAUUAGUCAUAGUCUAAACAUAGUUCAUUUAACAAUCACAGUACCAUUGCGGAAACACUGAUUUUAUCCAAAUGAUGGUAUAAAACAAUGCUGCAACACUCUGUGAGCCCUUCACUGUUUCAUUUGUGAUCUGUGCCGAUCUUCAAAACAUGGUUUCCAGAAUUAUAACAACAAUAUUAUUCUAAACUCUAAAUCGUCACCCUAACCCUAAACUUGUCACAACCGAGAAUACGAAGAUCGUGACUGCCACCGAUCAUAGGAAGAACCGUGAAUCACUAAAACGGCAAAUCGGUACGAGUUGCAAAACCUAUUUGCCGAAGCAAUCUGAUCCCGGAAGACCUCCAAUGGCCACGUGCUGAUCAUUGGCCAGCAGCUUCUCGGAGCGGUCUCGCAAUCGUCAUGUUGAAACAAAGCCAUUGAUAGCAGAAAUUGCAGAUAAGUUGUGGUCAGGAUAUGUUACCAUCGCCACGUGAAGACUUCCCCGACCUGGAUGUAGCGUGGGUGGACCCAAAACUGACUCUGAGCGGGUCAAUUUAUACACGUGUUUUCAUAUGUUAUGAAAUUGCCCAGUUCCAGUGAACGUCAGAAGUUCGGCCAUGCUCUAGUGACUUUGCAGCUAGAUCUCGGCUACCUGCGAUUGCCGGGCCCCGCCUUGUCUCUCUCUCACUCUCUCACACUUUCAUACAUUACCGAUACAGCCGACGCUCAGAUACCUUGACAUUCCAUGCAUUAGACACAAGGUAUCUGACCGUCUUCACUCCCGUCUUCACUCUCGCCUGCAGCUAUCCUCGACCUCAAGUCCAAACUAGGCAAAACACGGGAAUCGUCCACGCGGAAUAACAACAACCAGAGAUUCUUCAGCGUCACAGAAUAGGGACGGAUUUUGGUACAGUGAGCGACGAGCAGGCCGUAGCUGCAAC
rnacentral:lncRNA from 1 species